CUUCUCCCAACUCCUCAUCUCAUGCGGCCUUCUCCAUCCAACUCCUCUCCGGCCUCCAGAUCCGGGGCGUCAACAAGGCUGUGUACUCCUGGAGAAAUUGAUCGUCAGGGUUUCCGCGGAAGCAAUUUGGAGUCAACUAGCGUGAAAUACGAUUUUUUUUCUUAUACCCGCACGAAGCCACUGCCUUGGGUGAUCUCGGCAGCGGCCAGGGAGUUAGGUUUGGCAGCUCGAGGAGGGAGGGUAGAGACGGGAGAGGUGGCGGCGAGCGGGCGGCGGAGGAUGGUCGGUGAGUUCGGGAGGGACGUACAGUGGCUCAGGGAGGGAAGGUGGUGGGAUUGAGAAGCAAGGCGAGCCUCGGGGUGGCACAGGCGAGCUUCAGAGGGCAGUGUGCAGCAGAGGCCUUUUUCCUCCUUCCAUUCUUUCCCUAUUUUCAUCCGAAUACACAACUUUCUCCCUCUUUUUUCCUCUCCCUCCCUCUCCCUUCCCUCCUUUCUCUCCUCCCCUCAUUUCUCUUCUUCCCCUUCUCUUCCUUUCUCCCUGAAUGCACACUGUAUACUGAAAAUGGAAAAGGAUUCAAGUUUCUCACGAGGAAGUGAAAUGUCUCUACUGGAGCAAUUUGAAGGUAUAUUGGAAGGAGAUAAACUCAUUGAUGAAAUAGGUUUCUUGGGCCCAUCUCAGUUUGCUUCACUAGAUCAGGAUUUAAGUGGUUCUUCUCUUGACCAGUGCACUCCUAUUCAGUUGGCUGAUUGCAUCUGCUCAGGAAAACUCUGAUCACCUUCUUGAAGAUGAAAUUCUAAAACACACGAAGGCCUUACUGAUUUUAAGCUGCAACUUCAGCAGUGCUUGGAAUGACAGGUGGAUACAGGACAGUCGAGAUCAGUACACUAAGGAGCGUCUGGAUUCAGUAAUUGAUCAGUACACUAAGCGUCUGGAUUCAGUAACUACUGUACUAUUUUGAGUAAAUAGAUUGUUGGCUACUUCAAUAUUCAGUAU